UCCUUCUUAUGCGCGCGUAUUGACGCGCAGAUCUAUAAAUAGGACUACGAUGUGGCCAAUCACGGCGCGGGAGGGGCGUGGCUUGACGGAAAACGGGUGGGGAGAGGGGAAAAAAACACCGCAUAUCCCCCGAGCGCGUCUUCGCAGACAGCAAUGGCGAAGGAAUACAGAAGAGGUGCUGCAGGCACAGGUCCAGGGUCUCUCCCUCCACUUCAUCCUCCGCCACAGAGUCCGAUAAGGGCCGGGUGGGAAGAGGGCCGUCCUCGGGCAGCGGAGGCCUCAUCUCCCGCAAGAAAAGCUCCAGGAAACGCCGGUUUGGUUUGUCCCAUUGUCCUUCCAGCGAUGUCCACCAAAGUCCAUGUGUAGGUCAAUACAGCAGUCCAGAAGAAUCCAUGUAUGAAUAAAUAAGGUAAUAUAUUAAAAUGAAGAAUGCACUGCC